rnacentral:rRNA from 2 species
UGCAAGUCGAGCGAUGGAUUGAGAGCUUGCUCUCAAGAAGUUAGCGGCGGACGGGUGAGUAACACGUGGGUAACCUGCCCAUAAGACUGGGAUAACUCCGGGAAACCGGGGCUAAUACCGGAUAACAUUUUGAACUGCAUGGUUCGAAAUUGAAAGGCGGCUUCGGCUGUCACUUAUGGAUGGACCCGCGUCGCAUUAGCUAGUUGGUGAGGUAACGGCUCACCAAGGCAACGAUGCGUAGCCGACCUGAGAGGGUGAUCGGCCACACUGGGACUGAGACACGGCCCAGACUCCUACGGGAGGCAGCAGUAGGGAAUCUUCCGCAAUGGACGAAAGUCUGACGGAGCAACGCCGCGUGAGUGAUGAAGGCUUUCGGGUCGUAAAACUCUGUUGUUAGGGAAGAACAAGUGCUAGUUGAAUAAGCUGGCACCUUGACGGUACCUAACCAGAAAGCCACGGCUAACUACGUGCCAGCAGCCGCGGUAAUACGUAGGUGGCAAGCGUUAUCCGGAAUUAUUGGGCGUAAAGCGCGCGCAGGUGGUUUCUUAAGUCUGAUGUGAAAGCCCACGGCUCAACCGUGGAGGGUCAUUGGAAACUGGGAGACUUGAGUGCAGAAGAGGAAGUGGAAUUCCAUGUGUAGCGGUGAAAUGCGUAGAGAUAUGGAGGAACACCAGUGGCGAAGGCGACUUUCUGGUCUGUAACUGACACUGAGGCGCGAAAGCGUGGGGAG